UGGCCUACUGCUGGAGGUAUUAUUUUUGUUCAUAGGUGGAUAUUGCCUGGUGCAGCCGAGGCGAUAUCGGGGACAACUGGACAUAAAUUUUAUUUUUCUCUUUGUUCUUUCCAUAUUUAUUUUUUUUGUUCUCUCUACUAUGAGUGAACUCGAUUUCUCUCUCACGGUGACCGGUUACUUCUCUGGCAACCACAGAAGCUUUUCUCCGGCAUCUAAUUCGGUAAUAUUUCUUUUAAAUUUUCAUAAAUUAUUUCUUCAAUUCAAAAUAUGCAUGAGGAAUGAAAUUCCUUGAUUAAAUUGAAAAUUUCGAACAAAAACGAAGGGAGAUUGAAAAUGUUUAGAGGGAGAACAAUUAAUUGUGUCUUUGUGCUUUCUAUAAAAUCUUCAAAGAUUGCUAACGAGUAGCAGGGGGAGUGAAACGGAGCAAAAAUUUUCGAUACUCUCCGUGUCCGGAGUUUGCCCGGAUAAAUUGAGGCGGAAAAGUGACAAAUCGGGAGAGAAUAACAAGGGUGAAAUUUUCUUUCUAAGGCGGGGGAAUAAAGGUUUUCGAGGAAGAAAUAAAACUCUGUAGAGGAGUGUAAAGAACGGGAAAAAAUCAAUGCAACAAUCGACGCCAAAAGAAAUUAGUGCAAUCGACACAAAGUGGAAAAAAGAAAAAGGUGCACAAAAGCAAUAACACGAGUGGAGGCUGAUUAGGUUAGAAGAAUGAACGGCGGCGGCGUUGAUUAGGUAGAACGAUUCUUAUGGGUUCGGUGGCUUCACAUUUGGUACUUCGGGUUUCGGCGACUGUGAGGAAGGGUUCGGUGGCUUCACAGUUGGUACUUCGGGUUUCGGCGACUCUGAGGAAGUAUGUCUUUCGGUCGGUUCAUGUCCCCGAACAAUAAUCAGAGGUUUACGAUGGGGUUCAGUAGACAGUGGCCUCGGCCUUGAUAUGCAAAAUUUCGGUGGCAAGGUCACAGUUCAAAAGCAAGCUGACAAUUUUCUCGUACGCAACACAUUUGGCGGAAGCUGUGUCGUCUGCAACCGUUGUCGUUAACAUGUAUCUGAGAGGUAAAAGUAGGUGUGAUUAUAUUAUAUAAGUAAAAUGUUUAUAAAGCAUUUGUCUACCUUUUUUUGCUUGUUUGGACACUCGAGCACUUAAAUUAAUAGAAUGUACGUGGUGGAGGGUUUCUUGUCGA